CCCCCUACGGGAGGCAGCAGUAGGGAAUCUUCGGCAAUGGGCGAAAGCCUGACCGAGCAACGCCGCGUGAAUGAAGAAGGCCUUCGGGUUGUAAAAUUCUGUUAUAAGGGAAGAAAGGUGAUAGGAGGAAAUGACUAUCAAUUGACGGUACCUUAUGAGAAAGCCACGGCUAACUACGUGCCAGCAGCCGCGGUAAUACGUAGGUGGCAAGCGUUAUCCGGAAUUAUUGGGUUUAAAGGGUGCGCAGGCGGAGGCACAAGUCAGCGGUAAAAUCGCGGGGCUCAACCCCGCUCCGCCGUUGAAAC
rnacentral:rRNA from 1 species